ACUGACCUCCCCCAGCAGACCCCUGGAGCAGGUGUGUCCGUGCGGCCACAGCUGGAAAUCCGUUGCUGGCCAUGUUUGGUUUUUGUUGCCGUGACCAAACUCCUCACAUGGACGACUUGAAGCACAGGUCUGUUCUGGCUCUCCGUUUCAGAGGUCCAGCCCACGGUCGGCUGGCUGCGUUGCUCUGGGCCUGAGGGAGGCAGAACAUCAUGGUGGAAGGGUGGAAGGGAGGCAGGUGCCCUGCGCACAGUGGCCAGGAAGCAGAGAGCGAGAGGCAGAUGCCCCCUUCCAGGACACAGCCUCAGUGCCCUCGCUGCUCCUGCGGCUGGUGGAGCAGGCGGGGGGCAGCGUCUGGACUGGCAUCUGGAGGGGCUGGUCAGGCAGGCCCAGUGGCAGGCUGACCGUCAGGAGAGAUGGGACUUCCAGGAGGGAGAGAGGAGCUGCAGAAUCCGGAACGGCCGGCGAGCAACCCCCUCCCCUUGGCAGGCAGGGCAGAGGGCGCCGUGGCCGCACACUGGGGAGGAAGGCUGGACGGGUAACUGAGGCUGCGGUGGCCCAGGGGCUCAGCUGGCACAGAGACGCCAGCAGGGCUGUACUGACCAAGUCCAUGGGCCGGGCUGGGAAGGCAGAAUCCCCUGACCUCCUUCCCCACCAAGGGUAGGCUCAAGUGAUGGGGCCAGUCAGGGACCCUCCCCAUAUUUCAUCAGAAGCUGGGAGAGGGAAGAGUUGUGGCUUGCAUCCAGGGCCAUGGCGCCCUGUGGCAAGAAAGAGCCCUCACUUGAUGACCUGAUGACCCUGGAGCACCACCAGGGCCUCGGGCUUUGGCACACACGGGUACGGCUAUGAGCCUCACGCUGCAUUUGGAUUCCGCCUGGGGAAAAAGAUGCUCUAAGUAAAAUGGGUCAUGUGGGCCCCGCCCCCCAUGCCAGGCAGCAGGACAUGCCACCGAGGGGCUCGGCAGGCGGGGGCUUGGCAAGCUCUCAUGGUUACAGGAAAGGGUGGUGCUGGAGGGGCCUGAGCACAAGAGCGGCGGGACCUGGCUUAGAUUAUGUUUUAUUGGGGUGAAAUUCACUCUGCACACGUUGCUGUUCUAAAGCAGCACUGAACAUAUUGACGGUGGUGCACGACCACUCCGUCCGGCCCAAAAUACUUUCAUUACCCCAAAGGAGACCCAUUAGCAGUCACCCCAGUCCCCAGGCCCUGGCCCCUCUCCACAGACCCUGGCAAUCCCCUGCCGCUGCGUUCACCUGGCCUGGGCACUCCACGCAGACGGAAUCGUCCCGCUGCGCUCCUCGUCCCUGGUCCACUUCAGGCCGCGUCGUGUCUCCGAGUCCAUCAAGUCCCUCUGCUGUAACAUGGGCUUCUCAUACUGCUCGGGCACUUCCAGAGCCUCAGAGGGUGCGGUAGAAGCAGCGGUCACAGUGAUGACCACAGGGUCCAGUGCUAGCUGUUGCUGGACAUCCAGUGAUGGGUGAGACAGGUGACCUUGCACCUGCCAGCCUGUGCCAGGUGGACGGUUCCCAAACACAAACAAGGUGGACACUGUUCUGAUCACCAUGUGACAGGUGGGGACACUGAGGCUGGGAGGUGGCACAGAUGGUGAGUGGUGGACAUGGGUACACCUGUUCCUGACCCACAGGACCCUCAGGACCUCCUUCUGCCACCUGACGGUGAUGACAGCCCUCAGCCCCCAGCUUACACCCAAAGUGGCCCCCAUAGAAGCAGGAGGAAAGGCAGAGGGGGCCGUGGCCUCCGGCCUCCGCCCAGAACAAUGGGCCAGUCUCUGCCCACUCCCGGGCGCUGGUGACGUCAGGUUGGCACUGCCUCCCCACAAAGGUCUCAUUCUUUGCCAGCCCCUCCCCCGGACAGGAGGAGCACUUUGAUCUUCUGAUGACAUUCCUGCCAGGACUCCACCAGGAUGACGGCACCACAGGUGACAUGCCUUUGACUAACAAGGUGUCAGGAGCCCGGCUGUGCUGCAGCCAGUCACCUGGGCCCAGGGUGGAGGUGCGGCCGGGCCAGCCCACACCUGCCCGCUGAGGAAUCCGCACAGGCCGCUCCGGGCAGCCCCUGGCCCCUCCUGCGUCUUUCUCAGCAGCACAGCGGCUGGCCCUGAAGCUGCCCAAAGACGAAGCCACCCUGAGGCUGGAGCAGCAGACCCUGAGGGUCUUGAGGCUGCGGCAGCCAGGAGCAGCUGGGGCCCGUGGUGGGAGCUGAGGGCAGGGUCCCAUUGACAAGCCCACCCAGGCCAGCCACCCGGGACAGAGCAUGGGGUGCCAGGGACUGGGGUCCCUGCAGAGUGACAUCCCUCCCAAUUUUUCUCCUGGGGAGCGGGAACCUUGGACAGGUGGAGUGAGCGGCCCAAGACCCCCACUCUGGUGCCUGAGCAGAGGUCAGGCACGGCCUGACCCAGCCUCAGCCACAGCUCUCCACAAGGCCCCACCAGGGCCCGCCCAGCUUUGGCACCCUCCCUAGGUCCUCCGGCCUGGGCCUUCACAUGAAGUCCAGCUUGGACUCCACAUUCAUGGAGGGAAUUUCCAGAUCUACCCUGCCCUCACGGCUUUCCCCCGGGGGGCUGUGCUGGUCAUGCUGACCCAAUGUCCCCCCAAGGGAUGGCUGGCAGUCCGCUGGGAAGGAGGAGCUCAAUCCAGGGAGGACACUCUGACCAGCUGGCACUGACCUCUGGCCUGCCGCAGCCCUCCUCACUGGCCUGGGGCCUGGAUUGUGCCUGGCCUCUGGGGUCUGGGGGAGGCAGAGUCCUCCAUGUCACAGACCAGAUUCGUCUUCACACUAGUGGCAUGAGGCCAGGGCUGGCCUGGGUGACCUCCAUCGUGCCCUGAUCCCCGGGCCCUGGCCUGGGCCCCGCUGGCCUCCCUGGGAGUCCUCGGUCAGGUCUCCCUCAGACCCCAGCCUCCGUCGGAGUCCCUGGGGGCAGAGAGCUGUGCUGUGCCUCGCGUCCCUCGGGAUGAGGGCCUGCUGCCCUGGAGCACUCACAGCAUUGGCCCUUCCUAGCACAGGAGGAGGGGGGGAUUCAAAAUCAGAAGGAGAAGCCGUCGGGCACCGCAAGCCCCACACCCGGGUCGGGCAGAAUGCAGCGCCACUGCCCGCGCCUGUGUGGGAUCUGGGGCCUCGGCUGGGAGAGCCCCCACGCACGCUGCAGACCGGAGCCCCCUGCCAGCCACCGAGGGUCCCAAGAGCCACUAUGAGCCCAGGGGUGGGCUGCAGCGGGGCCACACCACACAGGCUGGCCACACCGGGCACCGACGUGAGCCCUGGCCACUCCUCCCUCUCAUGGACGGUGGGCGCCUGGAGUCCUCAGCAAGAUGAAGUGUGAAGACCCCUGGGCUCCGUGGCUCCUGUUCACCAUGGAGGCCAAGAGUGAUGGCCAGUACCAGGAGGAGGAGGCCCCGCCAUCCCUAGGGGGCUUUGGGAAAGUCAUCAACGAUGGGACAAAGACAGAGUCAGAUGCCGCCCAGGCCAGCGCCUUUCCUCAGGAGACGCGCCAAGCUCCAUCCCUUCCCUCUGGUGUCCUGAGGAGGGCUGGAGGGGUCUCCAGGCCAGUGAGGGUGCAUGGACCUGCAGAGAGGCACCAGGAGCCACGGGGGGACUCCGAGCCACACAGACCCCAGCUCCCAGCAUGUCCCCAGG
rnacentral:lncRNA from 1 species